rnacentral:rRNA from 1 species
CCGCCAGAGAACUACAAGUGAAAAACUUAAAACUCAAAGGACUUGACGGUGUCCCAUAUCGACCUAGAGGAGCCUGUCCUAUAAUCGAUACUCCACGUUCUACCUAACCCUAACUAGCACAACAACAGCCUAUAUACCGCCGUCGACAGCCUACCCUAUGAAGGUCUAACAGUAGACACAAUAACCCAACCGCUAGUACGUCAGGUCAAGGUGUAGCAAAUGCUAGGGAAGAGAUUGGCUACAUUUUUUAUGAUAAAAAACACGAAAAGUAUUAUGAAACUGUACAUGAAGGUGAAUUUAGUAGUAAAAUAGAUAAGAGUGCCUAUUUUAACAACGCUCUGGGACGCGUACACACCG